rnacentral:SRP_RNA from 1 species
GCUGGGCGUGGUGGUGCACGCCUGUAAUCCCAGCUACUUGGAGGCUGAGGCAGGAGAAGUGCUUGAACCCAGGAGGUGGAGGUUGCAGUGAGCUGAGAUCGUGCCACUGCACUCCAGCUUGGGCAUCAGAGCGAGACUCUGUCUCAA